AACGAACGCUGGCGGCAUGCCUAACACAUGCCAGUCGAACGAGACCUUCGGGUCUAGUGGCGCACGGGUGCGUAACGCGUGGGAACCUGCCCUUAGGUUCGGAAUAACUCCCCGAAAGGGGUCCUAAUACCGGAUAAUGUCUUCGGACCAAAGAUUUAUCGCCUUUGGAUGGGCCCGCGUUGGAUUAGCUAGUUGGUAGGGUAAAAGCCUACCAAGGCGACGAUCCAUAGCUGGUCUGAGAGGAUGAUCAGCCACACUGGGACUGAGACACGGCCCAGACUCCUACGGGAGGCAGCAGUGGGGAAUAUUGGACAAUGGGCGAAAGCCUGAUCCAGCAAUGCCGCGUGAGUGAUGAAGGCCUUAGGGUUGUAAAGCUCUUUUACCCGGGAUGAUAAUGACAGUACCGGGAGAAUAAGCUCCGGCUAACUCCGUG
rnacentral:rRNA from 1 species